rnacentral:rRNA from 1 species
CACGUAGGGCGAGGGCGUGCCGGUAUCCGAAUUGGUGCGUAAAGAGCUCGUAGGCGGCUCAGUAAGUCGGGUGUGAAACCCUCAGGCUCAACCUGGGGACGCCACCCGAUACUGCUGUGGCUAGAGUCCAGUAGGGGAGUGUGGAAUUCCCGGUGUAGCGGUGAAAUGCGCAGAUAUCGGGAGGAACACCAGCGGCGAAGGCGGCACUCUGGGCUGGUACUGACGCUGAGGAGCGAAAGCGUGGGUAGCAAACAGG